UAACAAGGUUUCCGUAGGUGAACCUGCGGAAGGAUCAUUGUCGAAACCUGCCCAGCAGAACGACCCGCGAACCAGUUCUCCGACGCACGCCGGGCGGCCCUCGCGCCCCCGGCGAGCCGCGGGGAGCGGGCCCGUGCGGCCCCUCCCCUCGGCUCACGAACAAAACCCCGGCGCGGGACGCGCCAAGGAACACGAGAAAAAGAGCACGCACCGUCGGCCCGGGAACGGGGCGCGGGGCGCGUCUUCUUUCGCUAUUACGAGCAAAGAGA
rnacentral:rRNA from 1 species